rnacentral:lncRNA from 1 species
GGAAGGUGGAUGAAUGAAAGCCAAAUCUCACCUUGGAGUUUCUGGCAGCAGCUUAGACUAUUUACUUCCCUUGGUUUGCUGGUGAUUAAGGGAGUGUUUUGGCUGAACUUGUAGGCUAGGAAGGCAAAGGGGCGAUGGAGUGCACUUGAGUGAUGAGUGGUAGGAAAAAUGAUGAGUGAUGGGGGAAAGUGAUUGGGAAAGAGUGAAUGGUUGGGGUGAAAAAUGAGUGGUCAAAGAUUGAUGGAAAUAAAAAGAAAAAAAUAAUAGAGAAGAAUUAAUGAUGUAUUUUCUAUGUCUCGGUGAUUCCGUAACUGAAAUAAAAUACUGGCUUCGAUUCUG